rnacentral:snRNA from 1 species
UUUCUUUGGCAGCACAUAUACUAAAACUGAAAUUAUACAGAGAAGAUUACCAUGGCUGUGCACAAUGAUGACACACAAAUUCAUGAAGCAUUCCAUACUUUU